rnacentral:rRNA from 1 species
AGUGAACGCUGGCGGCGUGCCUAAUACAUGCAAGUCGAACGGAGUGGCGCACGGGUGAGUAAUUUAUAGCUAAGCUGCUUUACACUAGCGGACAACAGUUGGAAACGACUGCUAAUACUCUAUAGGGGAGGAUGAGGGUAUAUUGUAUCAGUUAGUUGGUGGGGUAAUGGCUCACGAAGGCUAUGACGCAUAACUGGUCUGAGAGGAUGAUUAGUCACACUGGAACUGAGACACGAUCCAGACUCCCACGGGAGGGAGCAGUAGCGAAAAUUGCACAAUGGGUGCGAUCCUGCAUCAGCGACGCCGCGUGAAGGAUGACACUUUUCGUCGCGUAACCUCCUUUUGUUAGGGUAGCGGUACCUAACGAAUAAGCACCGGCUAACUCCGUGACAGCAGCCGCGGUAAUUC